GCAGCAGGCGCGAAACCUUUACACUGCACGCCAGUGCGAUAAGGGGAUCCCAAGUGCGUAGGCAUAGAGCCUACGCUUUUGUCCACCCUAGGGUGGUGGACGAAUAAGGGCUGGGCAAGACCGGUGCCAGCCGCCGCGGUAAUACCGGCAGCCCGAGUGAUGGCCGAUCUUAUUGGGCCUAAAGCGUCCGUAGCUGGCCGCACAAGUCCAUCGGGAAAUCCACCUGCUCAACAGGUGGGCGUCCGGUGGAAACUGUGUGGCUUGGGACCGGAAGGCGCGACGGGUACGUCCGGGGUAGGAGUGAAAUCCCGUAAUCCUGGACGGACCGCCGAUGGCGAAAGCACGUCGCGAAAACGGAUCCGACAGUGAGGGACGAAAGCUAGGGUCUCGAACCGGAUUAGAUACCCGGGUAGUCCUAGCCGUAAACACUGCCUGCUAGGUGUGGCACCCACUACGAGUAGGUGCUGUGCCGUAGGGAAGCCGCUAAGCAGGCCGCCUGGGAAGUACGUCCGCAAGGAUGAAACUUAAAGGAGUUGGCGGGGGAGCACUACAACCGGAGGAGCCUGCGGUUUAAUUGGAUUCAACGCCGG
rnacentral:rRNA from 1 species